AUCGCUUCUCAACUUUUGGCUAAAAUCAAGGGUAGUAUCUGUUCUUAUCAGUUUAAUAUCUGACAUGUCCUCUAUCUGAAGACAUAAAUGAAUUUUUGGAUCUAGAGGUUGAAAUAAGAUCUUGUUUCAUCCACUCCACACAUUGACCUGGUAUAUUGCAGUACCACCAGGUAUGGUACACCAAAA